rnacentral:rRNA from 1 species
GAUGAACGCUAGCUACAGGCUUAACACAUGCAAGUCGAGGGACCGACGCACGGGUGAGUAACACGUAUCCAACCUGCCCUUUACUCGGGGAUAGCCUUUCGAUAGAAAGAUUAAUACCCGCUAUAAAGGAUGGGGAUGCGUUCCAUUAGGUUGUUGGGGCGGUAACGGCCCACCAAGCCUUCGAUGGAUAGGGGUUCUGAGAGGAAGGUCCCCCACAUUGGAACUGAGACACGGUCCAAACUCCUACGGGAGGCAGGAGGUAGGAAUAUUGGGCAAUGGGCGGUAGCCGGAACCAGCCAAGUAGCGUGAAGGAUGAAGGCUUAUGGGUCGUAAACUUGUUUUAUAUAAGAAUAGGUAUUAGAUGAAUAAGGAUCGGCUAACUCCGUGCCAGCAGCCGCGGUAAUUC